GAUGAACGCUGACAGAAUGCUUAACACAUGCAAGUCAUUGGCGAAGCUGCUCUUGCGCAGUCUAGCCAAGGCGGACGGGUGAGUAACGCGUAAGGAACUUGCCCUGCAGACAGGGAUAACAGACGGAAACGACUGAUAACACCUGGUAUUGUCAGGCUGGCGCACGCCGGCCCGAUGAAAGGAGACGCGGCGGGAGAGCCUUGCGUCCUAUUUGCUUGUUGGGGGGGUGACGUCCCACCAAGGCGAUGAGAGGGAGCCGGCCUGAGAGGGUGAACGGCCACAAGGGGACUGAGAUACCGCCCGUACUCAUACGGGAGGCAGCAGUGGGGAAUAUUGGACAAAGGGGGCAACGCUGAUCCAGGAAUUCUGUGUGCACGAAGAAGGUUUUCGGAAUGUAAAGUGCUUUCAGCAGGGAAGAAGAAAGUGACGGUACCUGCAGAAGAAGCGACGGCUAAAUACGUG
rnacentral:rRNA from 1 species